rnacentral:lncRNA from 12 species
CUAGAUCAGCAUCCUGUAUUUGGUGAUAGUGAAAGAAAGUGCUACAGAGAAACUAAAUCAUGUAGAAAAUGGCACAGCAUUUGGUAAGAAUCAUUGGCAGGAACACAACAACAUUUAUCAGAUUUUUCCCAGUGCUGCAGCUCUUGAGGGCAAAGACUGAGGCUUCAGAAAUGACCUGGGAAUGCUGUCAGGAGCCAGCAGGCAUCAGGCAGUGA